rnacentral:snRNA from 1 species
AUGACAUCGGCAGCAUAUAUACUAAAAUUGGAAUGAUACAGAGAAGAUUAGCAUGGCCCCUGAGCAAGGAUGACAUGCAAAUUCGUGAAGUGUUCCAUAUAUGG